UUUCAGUAAUUUGUCAAAGUUCAAAAAUGGUUUCAAACCUUUUAAUUCUAAAAUUAAGCGUGACUGCUCUCCUGUCCAUUUAUAUGAUGCUACCAUUGAUUCUUUUUCUCGCCCCCCAAGGCGAGGGGCGCCCAUUUUAUCAAACUUUAAUGGCGUUCUUGAUUAUUUCUUUAUGGCCAGUAUUUACUUUUGUAUUGAUAGUCACAAUAUUAUUGGCAGACCGAUAUCCAAAAUUACCUCGCGUGAGUGCUAUUGUCUGGAUAGUAGUAUCCCAUAUAACUCUCAUCUUUUUACUUCUCAACUGUGGGUUCGUGAAUUCUGUGCAUUGGUACGACUUCCCGGACUUGUCUUUCCAACUUUUAAAAAAAUGCAAACACUACGAACAUUCCUACAAGUAUCCCGAAAUCGGAUGGAUCCUUUUCGGCGAAAUUUACGCUUGGCUAACUUUUACUUUAGUAAUGAUAUACAAUACAGCAUGGCCUCUUCUAUUA